rnacentral:rRNA from 1 species
UACGAAGGGGGCUAGCGUUGCCCCGGAAUCACUGGGCGUAAAGGGCUCGUAGGCGGUUUGUCACGUCGGGGAGUAGAAACGUCGGGUCUUAACCCCCGAGCCUGCUUUCGAUACGGGCAGACUAGAGGUAUGCAGGGGAGAACGGAAUUCCUGGUGUAGCGGUGAAAUGCGCAGAUAUCAGGAGGAACACCGGUGGCGAAGGCGGGUCUCUGGGCAACAACUGACGCUGAGGAGCGAAAGCGUGGGGAGCGAACAGG